CACAAGCUACCUCCAUAUAUGCAGCUCACAACAAUCUUUAACUCGAGAGAGAGAGAGAUGGAAGCCAUGCAAAUACUUCACAUGAACAACGGGGAAGGAGAGACAAGCUACGCAAAGAAUUCAACAGUUCAGAGGAAGAUAAUCGCAGUGGCGAAAUCAAUGGUGGAGGAAGCCGUAUUGGCCAUCUUGUCGGAAAACUUCCCGGAGAGCAUGGGCAUUGCCGACCUGGGCUGCUCGUCGGGCCCCAACACCCUCAUCGUCGCCUCCAAGAUCAUCGACAUUGUCCACUCCGCCGCCUGCCGGAAGGGCCUCUCCCCGCCGGAGCUCAGGGUCUCCCUGAACGACCUUCCGGGCAACGACUUCAACGACAUAUUCCAGCAGUUGCCGGAUUUCUACAAGAAGCUGAGGCAGGAGAAAGGCGGCGGAUUUGAACGGCGAUGCUUCAUCUCCGGGACGGCUGGAUCGUUCUACGGCCGGCUGUUCCCUAACAACAGCCUUCACUUCGUCCACUCCUCCUCCAGCCUCCAUUGGCUUUCUCAGGUUCCAGCAGCGCUGGAGAACAACAAAGAAGAACACCUAAACAAGGGAAAGAUUUAUAUAUCGAAGAGCAGCCCAGUGAGCGUUGUAGAAGCAUACGCGUCCCAGUUCAAGAAGGAUUUCAUGGACUUUCUCAAGUCUCGAUCCGAAGAAAUGGUUUCUAAUGGACGAAUGGUUUUGUCUUUCAUGGGCAGAAGAUCUGCAGAUCCAUCAAGUAAAGAGGGUUGCCAACAAUGGGAGCUCCUGGCUCAAGCUCUCAUGGCCAUGGCUUCCGAGGGACUGGUUGAAGAGGAGAAGAUAGACUCAUUCAACGCCCCUUACUAUGCGCCGAGCCCGGAAGAAGUGAGAAUGUUGGCCGAAACAGAAGCUUCUUUUUUGGUGGAUCGCUUGGAGGCCUUUGAAAUCGAGUGGGAUGGAGGAGGCGGCGGCGGCGGAGGCUACAACUGUGCCGGCGGCGAAAUGCCGUCGAAAGGCCACCUGGUGGCGAAGACCGUUCGAGCAGUGGUGGAGCCAAUGCUGGAAUCUCACUUCGGCAAGGAGAUGGAUAUGGACGACUUGUUCCGCCGGUACGCAGGACUGGUCGGCGAUUACCUGUCGGUGAACAGAAGCAAAUACGUGAAUUUGGCCGUCUCCUUUGUCAAAAAGCGUUGAUCGAUGUGGGGGUAUGGUGAUUUUGGGUGAAGAAGAAGAAAAAGAAGUGAUUCCAGUCCACAAGCUGGAUUGCAAAGCUACUAUUCUGAAAAAAGAAAAUCGACGCAAGAAACGAAGAAGACAAAUUCACCAAUUUGCAACAAAUGGAGACACUAACGGUGGUGAAGAGAGAUUAACGAAACGUGACUCAAGUGAAAGCCAAAAUCAUGAUAGGUCAAAGUCAAGAAGUAAGAAGAACUUAAAGUGCUAUUACUGUGACAAGAAGGGUCACCUGAAGAAGAAAUGUUGGAAUUUGAAUGAGAAAAAUUCUAUGGGAGUGGGCCUUGACACGACUUCAGUGGCGUAGUAACCUCAUCAUUAGAUGAAAAAGCCUAGAAUAUAAUGUCAUU